rnacentral:rRNA from 1 species
GAUGAACGCUGGCGGCGUGCCUAAUACAUGCAAGUCGAGCGAAAAGAGGAGAAGCUUGCUUCUCUGAGGGGAGCGGCGGACGGGUGAGUAACACGUGGGUAACCUACCUAUAAGACUGGGAUAACUCCGGGAAACCGGGGCUAAUACCGGAUAAUAUUUUGAACCGCAUGGUUCGAUAGUGAAAGACGGUUUCGGCUGUCACUUAUAGAUGGACCCGCGCCGUAUUAGCUAGUUGGUAAGGUAACGGCUUACCAAGGCGACGAUACGUAGCCGACCUGAGAGGGUGAUCGGCCACACUGGAACUGAGACACGGUCCAGACUCCUACGGGAGGCAGCAGUAGGGAAUCUUCCGCAAUGGGCGAAAGCCUGACGGAGCAACGCCGCGUGAGUGAUGAAGGUCUUCGGAUCGUAAAACUCUGUUGUUAGGGAAGAACAAAUUUGUUAGUAACUGAACAAGUCUUGACGGUACCUAACUAGAAGGCCACGGCUAACUACGUGCCAGCAGCCGCCGUAA